rnacentral:rRNA from 1 species
AGGAAGGUAGUGUAGUUAACACCUGCAUUAUUUGACGUUACCUACAGAAGAAGCACCGGCUAACUCCGUGCCAGCAGCCGCGGUAAUACGGAGGGUGCGAGCGUUAAUCGGAAUUACGUGGGACGUAAAGCGCAUGCAGGCGGCCUGUUAAGUCAGAUGUAGAAACGGCCCGGGGACCGUUAACCGUACGGUAAGUUGCUAUUUAGUAAACGUGGCGAGGCUAGAGUCUUGUAGAGGGGGGUAGGAAUUUCAGGUGUAGCGGUGAAAUGCGUAGAGAUCUGAAGGAAUACCAGUGGCGAAGGCGGCCCCCUGGACAAAGACUGACGCUCAGAUGCGAAAGCGUGGGGAGCAAACAGGAUUAGAUACCCUGGUAG